rnacentral:rRNA from 1 species
GAUGAACGCUGGCGGCAUGCCUAAUACAUGCAAGUCGAGCGAACAGAUGAAGUGCUUGCACUUCUGACGUUAGCGGCGAACGGGUGAGUAACACGUAAGGAAUCUACCUAUAAGCGGGGGAUAACUUUCGGAAACGGGUGCUAAUACCGCAUAAUAUAUUCAUCCGCAUGGAUGAAGAUUGAAAGACGGCUCUGCUGUCACUUAUAGAUGAAUUUGCGCUGCAUUAGCUAGUUGGUGAGGUAACGGCUUACCAGGACGACGAUGCAUAGCCGACCUGAGAGGGUGAUCGGCCACACUGGAACUGAGACACGGCCCAGACUCCUACGGGAGGCAGCAGUAGGGAAUCUUCCGCAAUGGGCGAAAGCCUGACGGAGCAAUGCCGCGUGAGUGAUGAAGGUCUUCGGAUCGUAAAACUCUGUUAUUAGGGAAGAACAAAUGUGUAAGUAACUACGACCGUCUUGACGGUACCUAAUCAGAAAGCCACGGCUAACUACGUG